GUGAGGAAUUUUCCGCAAUGGGCGAAAGCCUGACGGAGCAAUGCCGCGUGAAGGAUGAAGGCCUAUGGGUUGUAAACUUCUUUUCUCAGAAAAGAAUUAUGACGGUAUCUGAGGAAUAAGCAUCGGCUAACUCUGUGCCAGCAGCCGCGGUAAGACAGAGGAUGCAAGCGUUAUCCGGAAUGAUUGGGCGUAAAGCGUCUGUAGGUUGUUUAAAAAGUAUUCUGUCAAAGAUUAGGGCUUAACCCUAGAUAGGCAGAAUAAACUUUUAAGCUAGAGUGUGGUAGAGGCAGAGGGAAUGCCCGGUGGAGCGGUGAAAUUCGUAGAUAUCGGGAGGAACACCAAAGGCGAAGGCAAUCUGCUGGGCCAAUACUAACACUGAGAGACGAAAGCGAGGGGAGCAAAUGGGAUUAGAAACCCGAGUAGUCC
rnacentral:rRNA from 1 species